rnacentral:rRNA from 1 species
UACAGAGGUCCCAAGCGGUUGUUCGGAUUCACUGGGCGUAAAGGGUGCGCAGGUGGGUUUGCAAGUUUGAUGUGAAAGCCCCGGGCUUAACCCGGGAAUGGCAUUGAAUACUGCAGAUCUGGAGGAUUGGAGGGGGACUGGAAUUCUUGGUGUAGCAGUGAAAUGCGUAGAUAUCAAGAGGAACACCAGUAGGCGAAGGCGAGUCCCUGGACAACACCUGACACUGAGGCACGAAAGCUAGGGGAGCAAACAGG